UAAGAAUCUUCAUACCGGCAUGAUAUUAUAAUAAAGAACGGACGAGUUAUCGAUCCUGGAAAUCAAAUAGAUGACAUUCUCGACGUUGCUUUAAAAGAUGGUAAGAUAUUUGAUGUGGGGAGAAACCUUAAGCUGGAUUCUAAAUCAUCGUACGAUGCAUCUGGCCUAAUAGUUACGCCAGGUUUGAUAGAUGCGCACGUGCAUUGUUACCAGUACGCUACGCCGUUAGGAAUUAACCAGGAUGAAGCGUGUUUGUCACGUGGUGUGACGACUAUAAUUGACGCUGGGAGUUCAGGGGCCACGACAUUUCUUGGGCUACGGAAGUUCAUUAUUGAUCAAUCAAAGACGCGGGUUCGAUGCCUGUUACACAUCGCCAUGCACGGCCUUGCUGCGGCAGGAUGCGCAGGGGCAGCGCCCGGAGGAGAGUCGGACACACUCGCAAUUCUUAACCAGGACGCUUGCGUUGAGUGUAUAGAAGCCAAUCGUGACGUCAUCGUUGGCGU